rnacentral:rRNA from 1 species
GAACCUUCCACGGUUUGUGCGACGCAGCUAACGCAUUAAGCGCCCCGCCUGGGGAGUACGAUCGCAAGAUUAAAACUCAAAGGAAUUGACGGGGCCCCGCACAAGCAGCGGAGCAUGCGGCUUAAUUCGACGCAACGCGAAGAACCUUACCAAGGCUUGACAUAUACAGGAAUACGGCAGAAAUGUCGUAGCGGUUAAACGUCUGUAUACAGGUGGUGCAUGGUUGUCGUCAGCUCGUGUCGUGAGAUGUUGGGUUAAGUCCCGCAACGAGCGCAACCCUCGUUCUGUGUUGCCAGCAUUUAGUUGGGGACUCACAGGAGACUGCCGGGGUUAACUCGGAGGAAGGUGGGGAUGACGUCAAAUCAUCAUGCCCCUUAUGUCUUGGGCUGCACGCAUGCUACAGUGGCUGGUACAAAGGGCUGCAAUACUGCAAAGUGGAGCGAAUCCCAAAAAGCCAGUCUCAGUUCGGAUUGGGGUCUGCAACUCGACCCCAUGAAGUCGGAGUUGCUAGUAAUCGUAGAUCAGCAACGCUACGGUGAAUACGUUCCCGGGGCUUGUACACACCGCCCGUCACAUCACGA